ensembl:misc_RNA Metazoa_SRP Metazoan signal recognition particle RNA
GCUGGGCACGGUGACUCAUGCCUGUAAUCCCAGCACUCUGGGAGGCCGAGGUGGGCGGAUCACCUGAGGUCAGGAGUUCUAGACCAGCCUGGCCAACAUGGUGAAAUCCCAUCUCUA